rnacentral:rRNA from 1 species
AACGAACGCUGGCGGCGUGGAUAAGACAUGCAAGUCGAACGGGAUUUUUCGGUGUAGCAAUACAUCGGAAGAUUCAGUGGCGAACGGGUGAGUAACAGGUGGGAAUCUACCUAGAAGUGGGGGAUAGCUUGCCGAAAGGCAAAUUAAUACCGCAUUCGAUCGAAAGAUGAAAGCUGGGGACCGCAAGGCCUGGCGCUUCUAGAUGAGCCCGCCUCCUAUCAGCUAGUUGGUGAGGUAACGGCUCACCAAGGCUAUGACGGGUAGCUGGUCUGAGAGGACGACCAGCCACACUGGGACUGAGACACGGCCCAGACACCUACGGGUGGCAGCAGUCGAGGAUUUUCUCAAUGGGGGAAACCCUGAAGGAGCGACGCCGCGUGGAGGAUGAAGGGCUUCGGCUCGUAAACUCCUGUCACCAGGGAACAAUUGUGUUCACCUAAUACGUGUACACUUGAUGGUACCUGGAGAGGAAGGCACGGCUAACUCUGUGCCAGC